GAUGAACGCUGGCGGCGUGCUUAACACAUGCAAGUCGAACGGAAAGGCUCCUGCUUGCAGGGGUACUCGAGUGGCGAACGGGUGAGUAACACGUGGGUGAUCUGCCCUGCACUUCGGGAUAAGCCUGGGAAACUGGGUCUAAUACCGGAUAGGACGAUGGUUUGGAUGCCAUUGUGGAAAGUUUUUCCGGUGUGGGAUGAGCUCGCGGCCUAUCAGCUUGUUGGUGGGGUAAUGGCCUACCAAGGCGUCGACGGGUAGCCGGCCUGAGAGGGUGUACGGCCACAUUGGGACUGAGAUACGGCCCAGACUCCUACGGGAGGCAGCAGUGGGGAAUAUUGCACAAUGGGCGCAAGCCUGAUGCAGCGACGCCGCGUGGGGGAUGACGGCCUUCGGGUUGUAAACUCCUUUCGCUAGGGACGAAGCGCAAGUGACGGUACCUGGAGAAGAAGCACCGGCUAACUACGUG
rnacentral:rRNA from 1 species